CGGAACAGAUUUCAGCCAGGCAGCUAGCAAAGCUCGCGGGUGAACUGCACAGGCCAUGGUGGGUGCAGAGCUCAGAGCCGGAAAGCAAACAGCUGCUGUAGCCUGAUUUGAGUUAAAAUAGUGUGAGUGUUUAGUCUGGCGCACGGCUUCAGGGGAGAUUGGCAGCUGGGUCAAACAAAGUCCUUCCAUUGGCUCCCUUCCCAGGCAGCUUCUGCUAGUGUUUAGGUACUAGUGCAGUGUAGAACCCUUUUCUCAGGCAAAACCUAACAUCUGACCGCACCCUUUUUGCUAUUAAAAAAAAAAAAAAGCUUCUAUUUUUUUCCUCCUGUCGUUAAGAUAAAUUCUCCAGUAGACAACCUCUCCCACUAAUUGUGUAUUAGCAACGUAUUUUAUCUUGAGAGCUUGUACACUGGGCUCUCAACGUGGUGUGGAAGGUAGCCUGUUACAGUGCUGGAUUCAUAAAAGGGCCUUUAUGGUUUGUGAAAGAAUAUCUGUGUGCUUAGGGAGGAAACUUUUUGAUCUGCAGAAAAGCCAGAAGACAUCUAGGACAUCCAUAAAAAUUCAUCAGAGAGCAUUUUACUACUGAGCUGCAAAGGGAAAAACUUAAAAUGGAUAUGAAAAGUGAAGAAAGUGAUCAUAGGAGAAAACCAUUUCAGAUGACAAGAGCACCUCAAAGGCAGCAGCCUCAAGGAGCAGCCAUGGCCCCAGACUUGUCGCACGGAUGCAGAAAACUUAAUGGAGGAGGCUGAGGUCAGAAUGGGAAGAGUUUUUAAAAAAUAAAAAGGGGAGCUAAUAUGUGAGGAACUGAUUGCUGUGCAUUAUUUUCCACUGAACAGACCUUCUUUUAACUUCUAAUCUCAAGCACAUAGCAGCUGUUGUUUUCAUAUUAAAGAUCAGUAAGUGUUUGUUGAAUGAAUGUAUAAAUUCUUCCCCAAUCUCUGUUCCAUGUAAUAAGAACUAAGUUAGCAUUCAAUUAUAAAGAGGACUUAGAAAGUCUGCAGACAUUUUUGAUCAAAAAUCCUUUUAACUGUCUUCUUAUGGUUCCCGGUAACACCUAAGCCCAAAAAACUCAGGUCAUUUCUUGCCUGUACUGUUGCAAUAGCCUCAUAAUAACUAGUCUUCUCCUUUAUCAACCACAGUCGUCUCCGCUACACAAAGAAGAGAGGGUGCUAAUCUAAAGUGUAAAUUAUUUUAAAUCAGCACCCUUCUUGUAAUUUCCCAGUGGUUUUUCCUGUCAUAAGAAUAACAUGCAAAAUUCCUUGCUUGCAAAGCCAGGUAUGACCUUGCCCCGUCUACCUUACUGGCAUCGUCUCUCAUGACUCUUCCCCUUUUUCACUCUCCAUCUUGCCUUUUCCCAACCAUGCCUGCUAGUGAGCCUUAGCCCUUGUGUUUUCUCUGCCAGGGAUGCAUGACUGGCUUCUUUACUUUAUUCUGAUCUCUCUGCUCAAAUGUCAUCUUUUUAGAGAUAGCUUUCCUAAACAUCUUUAAAAGUACCCCAUGAACUGUGAAACACCUUUCCUGCUUUUUCUUCAUAGUACUUAUCACUUCCUGAUAUUAUGUUAGACAACAAGCAAAUAAGUAUAUGCUGUUCCCACUAAAAUAUAAGCUCCAUUUGAACAGGAGCCUUGAUUAUUCCUGAGUAUACCCCUAGUGCCCAGAACCUAGUAGGGCUUUAAUAAAUAUUAGAUUCAUUUGUUGAAUGAAAAAAUGAAUGAAUAAUUGAAUAAAGAUAUCCAGGUAGAGUGUCCGGGCAGCCCAACCUAUGUGAAGCCAGUACAAGAAUGUUUCUGUGACAUAGUGAGCGCAAUUAUUCCUCUAAAUGAUGAACUUGCAUGAGUACACAAGGAUAAAAUUAAGCACGUAGUUUAGAUUUCUGCAAGUCUCUUCCUCAGAUUGAGGAAAAACAAAGAAAUUGAGCUUAUUCUCACCUCAUUCUUACAUGAACUAAAUCCAGAAUAAAGCAUCAUUUAAAUACCAAGCACAUCCCUACCUCAGCCACUCAUGGAAUACUUUAUCUGUAAAGGGACAGAUAGAUAGUAAAUAUUUUUGGCUUUGGGGACCGUACAGUCUGUGUCGCCACUACUCAGCACUUCUGUUGAGGUGUGGAAUCAGCCCUAGACAACACAUAAACAAAUGGGUGUGGCUGUGUUCCAAUAAAAUGUUAUUUAUAAAACUAGGAAAUCAGCAGAUUUAGUCCACAGGCUGUAGUUUGCUGACCCUUGAAUUAGAGAGUCUUCCCCAAAUCCUCUUCCCAAGUUAUUGAAAGAAUGCCCAUAGGACCAUAGCUCCCUCACCUGGUUCUUUCAAGAAAUGAGACAAAUUCAGGGAUGGUUGGAGGGUGGAACGCCUACCUGUGACAUGACUAUUGAGCCUGAUUUCUUUCCUUUUAUCUCUUUAAAGUGAGUCAGGUCUUAACUUUAAACUGUCUCUAAAGUGGCAAUAACUGGGCCAUGUCAAAUACUCCCAAUGACAAAAUUUCUUCUUGGAGAAUGAAUGAGGGUUGCAUACAGUGGUGUGUUGGUAAAUGUUUAGCAACUGGCUCUCUUACUGAUUUCUGUAGUGUAAAUUCUCCCAUCCUGGCCAUCUGAAACUACCAAUAUGAUGUCACUUGAUGUAGAGUUGGGAAAAGACAGUCUCUUGAAUAAGUAUGAGCUGGUUCCAGCCCACUGCUGAACACAUAUUUAAAAGCUACAAUAGCUCUGCUCACUGCCAUUGCAGAGUCUGGAGGAAAGAGUAGCAGGCUUGAUAGGAGCAAUUGGCUGAAUAAUCUUUUGCAAUGCCAAUAAAUAAUGAAAAAGUAUAUAAAUAUAACGCUGUAUAGAAAGCUCUCAAGUUCAGUGUUUGGUUAAAAUACAUACUCAGUAAAUGGUAGCUAUUAUUGUCUUAGUUUAAGUUAUUGCAAGCAUUAAAAUUAAAUGUUUAGCUACAGACUCAAUCCAGUUUUAAUGUCAUUGUGUUAAUAAGGCCUCUUAACAUUGAAGCAACAAAGAUAAAGGAAUUUUUUUGUAGCUAUUCACGAUUCUGCCCAGCUCAAGGUAAAGAUAGCAACAAAAUACUCCAACCAGAAUAAAAGAAGUCUCCACUUGACUGCAGCUCUUCGCAACACUUCACAAGGGUCAAGCUGUGUUAGUUUCCUUCAGUGUUAAACAGAAUGCAUCUUAAGAGAAUAGUUCAAUUAUUGAUUGAAUAGUAGGUUCAAGUUGACUAUAAUCCCAACUAAUACACUCUAAGACCAGGGAUGGGCCGACAGAAGGGUAAAGUUUUCCACUCAAGUCUCGAGGCAAACACUCAGAUAGAAGUAGUAAUAUGGAUGCCUUCUAUUAUUUGGUCACAUACAAUACUGUUCCAGCCCAGUUGUGCAAAACUGGUGAAAUAAAAGGCAAAAAUAUUGACAACAGUUUGGGUAACUGGAUUCCAAAAUGGGCAUCCAUCUAAGAGAAAUUAAUGAAAAAAAAGCAUAUGGACCUUGAAAUACAUUAAUACACAGUUUAGGUUUAAACACUCAGUUUUUAUUAGAAAAGACUAACUUAUCCUGUUUUGAACACUACAAAAGUGCUUUCUGAACCAUUUACUCUCAAACCUCCUCCACCCAUUCCCCUCCAUCUAUAACGCUUUCUGCACAUCUGUAAAAGGUAUGACUUAGUGUUUGGUCUGUGAAAUAAGGUUAAAAAGGAAGCAUUUCUUUUUACAUUCUAGCUAAUGUUGAUAUUUUUCUCAUGCUUCUAUUAGCACAUAAUUCAGAUACAUUAGUUUUGAAGUUUUGAAUCUUCUCUGCUUCUUGAGGGCUCUCUGUUCUAGAUCAACAUGAUCUGUGGAACACCAGCCAAGUCCUGGGCAGAACCCUCCCCGUUGUCCAAAUAUUACUGAAUCAGUUGAGUUUUCUCUGUUGUCAAUGAAUUAUUCCACAUGUUUCUUUGGCUACAUUUUUUUUGGCUUUCUGUUCACAGUAAAUAUAGCCUUUGUUUUUAAAAACUUCUAUUAUGAAAAUUCCAAAUAUAUGCAAAUUAGAGAGAAUAGCAUAAUGAACCUCUAUGUGCUUAUCACACAUAUAGGUUCAACUAAUUAAAUUAUAUCAAUUUAUGGCCAAUCUGGUUUCAUUUAUAACAUCAUUCGCUCAUUCCUAACUCCCUGGAUUAUUUGAUUGACAUGUUUCUAAAGUUCCUUUUAAUCUGUAGGUUCCCCCUCUCAUUUAAUCUUUUGCAACUUAUUCAUUGAUGAAACUGGGUUAUUUGUCCUUUAUUGUUUCUCUCAUUCUGAAAUAUGCUGUAAUGUCAUUAACCAUAUUCUUCUUUCCUGUAUUUUCUGUAAGCUUUGAGCUAGGCAGAAAUAUUUUAAUCAGAUUCCUUUUUUUUUCUUUUAGCAAGAUUUCUUCAUAAAUAAUAUUGUAUG
rnacentral:lncRNA from 1 species